UGGUAGUCCACGCCGUAAACGAUGUCUACUUGGAGGUUGGUGUCUUGAACACUGGCUUUCGGAGCUAACGCGUUAAGUAGACCGCCUGGGGAGUACGGUCGCAAGAUUAAAACUCAAAUGAAUUGACGGGGGCCCGCACAAGCGGUGGAGCAUGUGGUUUAAUUCGAUGCAACGCGAAGAACCUUACCUACUCUUGACAUCCACGGAAUCCUGCAGAGAUGCGGGAGUGCCUUCGGGAACCGUGAGACAGGUGCUGCAUGGCUGUCGUCAGCUCGUGUUGUGAAAUGUUGGGUUAAGUCCCGCAACGAGCGCAACCCUUAUCCUUGUUUGCCAGCACUUCGGGUGGGAACUCCAGGGAGACUGCCGGUGAUAAACCGGAGGAAGGUGGGGACGACGUCAAGUCAUCAUGGCCCUUACGAGUAGGGCUACACACGUGCUACAAUGGCAUAUACAGAGGGCAGCAAGACCGCGAGGUGGAGCGAAUCCCACAAAGUAUGUCGUAGUCCGGAUUGGAGUCUGCAACUCGACUCCAUGAAGUCGGAAUCGCUAGUAAUCGUGGAUCAGAAUGCCACGGUGAAUACGUUCCCGGGCCUUGUACACACCGCCCGUCACACCAUGGGAGUGGGCUGCACCAGAAGUAGAUAGCUUAACCUUCGGGAGGGC
rnacentral:rRNA from 1 species